rnacentral:rRNA from 1 species
UACGUAGGGUGCGAGCGUUAAUCGGAAUUACUGGGCGUAAAGCGUGCGUAGGUGGUUUGUUAAGUCUGUUGUGAAAGCCCCGGGCUCAACCUGGGAAUGGCAAUGGAUACUGGCAGGCUAGAGUGCGGUAGAGGGUAGUGGAAUUCCCGGUGUAGCGGUGAAAUGCGUAGAGAUCGGAAAGAACACCAACGGCGAAAGCACUCUGCUGGGCCGACACUGACACUGAGAGACGAAAGCUAGGGGAGCGAAUGGG